rnacentral:rRNA from 1 species
UACGUAGGGGGCAAGCGUUGUCCGGAAUCAUUGGGCGUAAAGCGCGUGUAGGCGGUCAGGUAAGUCUGCUCUGAAAGCCCGGGGCUCAACCCCGGGAGGCGGGUGGAUACUGCUUGACUCGAGUCCGGAAGAGGCGAGUGGAAUUCCUGGUGUAGCGGUGAAAUGCGCAGAUAUCAGGAGGAACACCGGUGGCGAAGGCGGUUCUCUGGGCAUGUCCUGACGCUGAGGAGCGAAAGUGUGGGGAGCGAACAGG